rnacentral:rRNA from 1 species
AGAGACAGCAGUCGCCACGGGAAUACGGAGGGUGCAAGCGUUAAUCGGAAUUACUGGGCGUAAAGCGCACGCAGGCGGUCUGACAAGUCAGAUGUGAAAUCCCCGGGCUUAACCUGGGAACUGCAUUUGAAACUGUCAGGCUGGAGUCUUGUAGAGGGGGGUGGAAUUCCAGGUGUAGCGGUGAAAUGCGUAGAGAUCUGGAGGAAUACCGGUGGCGAAGGCGGCCCCCUGGACAAAGACUGACGCUCAGGUGCGAAAGCGUGGGGAGCAAACAGGAUUAGAUACCCCUGUAGUCCCUGUCUCUUAUAC